CCCAGUACCAUUAUUUCUCAUCUCCCUCAAACCACAGCAACAUUACAAAGCUGCGUACAAAUCAACCUUCAACAUCAACGACAAAAUCAACCCAAAUCAUGACUAAUCAACCAAAACAAAACCCGUCUUCAACCCGCGUCCAACAGCAAAACCCGACCCCAACCCGUUUCUCUUUCAUUGUCGUCACGCGUUCCACGCAGCUUCGUAUGAGCAAAGGCCUAGAAUCUUCCAGAAUAAGUCUAGGUGUUCUCUCAAUGUCUCAAUUCCGCAAAUCUCGGGAUGACCGGUAUGUAUUUGUACGUUUUUGGCAAAUUUUCAUUGGUUGAGAUGAAAUUUCUUCACUAUUGGUUGCCUAUUCCAGAUUUGGGGAAGAAAAAUCCAAAAAAAUUGGUACAUGAUUGAGGGGGUGAAAUCGAAUUGGGAGGGGAUGGAAAUUUCGAAUUUCAAAAUCUCCAUCGAAAAUCCCUAAUUUACCCCAAAAGGGAAACCCUAGCCGAUUAUCUAUAUAAAGGCUAUUUUAGGAGAGAAAAGAAUUUUUUUUUUGGGGUUUGAAAGAUUCGAGGUGGAGGAAAAUCUGGGGGCUCGAAAUUUUUGGGAGAGGAAAAAUGUCUCAAAAGGGAAGGAAAAGCUUCAAGCAGUAGAUCUUUUUCUAGUUAGAUUUCUUAAAAAGAUAGAAAAUCUUCGAAAAAAAGUAGAAGUUCUGGUGGUUGAUAUUCUGCCAACAGCUCGUAGUCCUGUUUGCUGCCCCAAAAGAGGUAAUAUCUCAUCUGAUGUAGUACGGAUCCUAAAUAAAAGAUGGAGAUAACUGGUGGUCAAAAUAUUGAUAUUGUUCAGAAUUGCCAUUACAGGAUUUCCAGAUGGAGUUUUCAAUUACUUAGGUGAAUUUCGUAACUAAGUACAUAGAAGAUUCAAAUGCAGUAAUACUAUUGGAGAUGGCAUCAUCUCCAUCUAUAUUUUAUAGAACUUCAAAUGAUGAUAUAGUAGAUGUGGAUCAGUGUGAUGCUAUGAUAGAUGACGAUGACCCAUGGAUUAGAACGACGGACUGUACCUGUUUGGGUCGUUUGGUAAGUAUAAGUCUAUUGUAUCAAGAUUGGAUUAUCAGAUUUGGAAAAGAUGAUGAAAUAUUUCAGUGGAAUUAAGAUGAUUUGUGGAGGAGAGAAGAAGUGCAUAAAUGUUGAGGGUACUAACGAUGAUGUGAAGUACCCUUUUUAGUAUAUGGAGGUCGAUAGACUCAGAAUGAAUAACCUCUUUUGGCUGAAUGCAUUCUUGCACAAAGCAAACAUUUAUCGGCCUCUACCUGAGGUAUUCCUUUAUAGUCUUUACACAAUUAAAAGGAAGGAUAUUAUUUCUUCACUGUGAAGCCUGUAUUUCAAUUGUCAGAUUAGUGAUGCUCGUUCGCAAAUUCACCUUACUAUUGCACAAAAGAUUGAUGAAGCACACCAGUUAAACAAGAAAAGGUUUGAUGAUUGUGUAGAAAUAAAGAAGUUGGCUAUUACACCAGCUAGAGGCUAUUAUAUGCCUUCUGGGUUAGAGUUGUCGAAUAGAAUUUUAAGGGAGUUUGGUGCAGAUUCGUUUAUCAGAGUUUCCUUCACAGAUGAAGGAACGACCAUACUCAAUAGAAGGAUGCUGAACUUCUACACUGCUCCGAAGAGGAUGAAAGCACAACUCCAACGCACCUCAAUAUAUCGAAGGAUUGAGAAUAUUCUGAAUAAUGGUUUUACUCUCGGAACCGAGCAUUUUGUUUUUCUGGCAUUCUCAAAUUCUUAAUUAAAGGACCACUCAGCAUGGUUUACAUUCAAAACCUUACUGUCAGAAAUCAGAAACUGGAUGGGGGAUAGCCAAAUGCUUAGCUAGGAUGGGCCUUUGUUUUUCGUCCACUUAUGAAACGAUUAAAGUUCCUUCAUCUCAGGUUUCAAAUCUUCCUGAGAUCAUAAGGAAUAACUACGUAUUUUCUGAUGGAAUUGGGAAAAUUUCCGCCUCUUUAGCUGCAAAGGUUGCGAAGAAGCUGCAACUAAGUGUUCAUAACGCGCCAUGUUCUUAUCAAAUUCGAUUUGGUGGUUAUAAGGGGGUUGUAACAUGCUGGCCAGAAGAUAGAGAUGAUGGGUUUCAUCUUUUUUUAAGGAAGAGUAUGCUGAAAUUUAAGUCUGAACAUAGUAUUCUGGAAAUUUGCUCUUGGAGUAAAUACCUACCGUGUUUCUUGAAUAGAUAGAUAAUAAUUCUUGUCUUCAUUGGAUAUAAAGGAUGAUGUUUUUAUGAACUUACAGGAAGCUAUGUUAGCAGCUUUUGAUGCAAAACUUGCAAUUGACAUAAGAAGAUCGUCUGCCGAAACAAUAAAUGCAAUUGCGACAAUGGUAGCUGCAGGUUUUAAACUAGAAAGUGAACCAUUUUUGGAAAGAAUGAUAUAUUGUAGUAAGUUCUUUGGCCUUUAAGGCCUCAAGAACAAAGCACGCAUCUAUGUUCCAGAUGGGCGCUUAUUAAUGGGAUGCUUGGAUGAAUUAGGCAUACUGGAAGAUGGGCAAUGCUGUAUUAGAGUAUCAUCUUCUGCUUCAUAUCCUGAGAUACAUGACAUAAACUUUGAAAUAAUACAAGGAAAGGUAGUAAUUGCAAAAACCUCUUUCAUCAUCCAGGGGAUAUUCGUAUUCUUACUGCUGUACAUGUUGAAAGGUUAUCCCAUAGGAAGGACUGUUUGGUCUUUCCACAGAAGGGGAACAGACCCCAUGCAGAUGAGACAUCUGGUAGUGAUCUAGAUGGCGAUCUAUAUUUUGUUACUUGGAAUGAAAAUCUCAUUCCUGUAGAAGCUGUUGAGCCGAUGAUUUAUGAUUCAACGAAAAUUGAUGAGUUUCAUGGAAAAGUCGAAGACAAGGACUUAAUUGAUUUCUUUUUGAGAUACAUCAUCGAAGAUAACUUGGGAUCAAUGAGCAAUGCUCAUCUUAUGCAGGCACACCAGUAUGGUGCUAAAAAUUCCACAUCUAUAAAGUUAACAGAUUCCAUUUCUAAGGCACUGGAUUGCAGCAAGACAGAAGAUUAUGCAGCCUUUCCAAAAAUUCUGAAACCAAAGAGCUAUCCCCAUUAUAUGGAGAAAAAGGGGGUCAAAACCUAUCUUUCAACAAACAUUUUGGGAAAGUUAUAUGAUCAGAUUAAGGACGUGAUUACAGCUGAGUUACCAUCUAGAGUAAUACAAUGAGAUACAGACCUAUUUAUAUUAGGAGCAGAAUCUUUCAGGGAGGCCCUGAGGUAUAAAAAAAGAUACGAUUUGAUGAUGAGGGAAAUUCAGCACUUACAUUCAGUGGCAGAGGUAGAGAUUGUAACAGGGAACUUUUGGUCAUUGCCCAAGGGCAAUAAAUAGAACAAGUUGAAGCAGAAAAUACUGCUUGCUUAUGAGAAUAUUUGGAGAGAAUUCAGGUCUUACUUUGAGAAUUUAGGACCUAAAAUUGCUGAUCUUUCUGACCAUGAUAAGCAAACCCUAUAUGAGGCAAAAACAUCAUGUUGGUACCGGAUUACGUAUAGUGCAGAAUCAAAAUGUGAGCUGCUAGAGGAAGAUACACGAGAAAAUGCUGAGUUUUCCCUGGAUCGCCGUUGAUCAUCUCUCUCGCAUUAAAAAACAGAAAUCAUUUCAGUCGUGACAGUGAUUUUUCUAGUAUCCAAUACUAACUGAUUUUCACACUUUCUACGUGUAUAUAACAUUAGCUUAUAGUGUAAUACAUUUUUGGAUGGAACCACGUGUGGAUGCUUGAACCACCUGAUCUCUAACUGGUCUUUUCUUUGCUUCUACUUAUAACAUAAUGUUGGAAUGAAUCAAACAUUUAGUUGUAUUUGCA